rnacentral:rRNA from 1 species
AUGGCAAGGACACCGAGGACGACAAUUUUACACCUUGUCCUAACCCUCUGCUGCAUCCUCUGGGUUCAAAACACGCCCUCUUUAGCUUCCACUGCAAGUGCAAUCGAUGAAUUCCUUGGGUGCCUCUCGGCGGACAUCCCGUCUGGCCUCAUCCAGACCCCGGCAACCCCGUCGUCCUACUCCGCCCUCCUGCUGUCCACCGCCCGGAACCUCCGCUACGUCCUGCCGGACACCUCCAAGCCUCUAGGGAUCAUCGCGGCCACCGAGCACGCCCACGCGCAGACCACCGUGCGCUGCGGCCGCCGCCACGGCGUCCGCGUCCGCGUGCGCAGCGGCGGCCACGACUACGAGGGCCUCUCCUACGCCUCCGUCCACCUCCACAACCGCAACGAGCCCUUCGCGGUCCUGGACCUCGCCGCUCUCCGGGCGAUCCACGUCGACGCGGCGCGUGCUGAGGCGUGGGUCGAGUCCGGCGCCACCGUCGGCGAGCUCUACUACGCCGUCGGCGCCGCCAGCCGCUCGCUGGGGUUCCCGGCGGGCUCGUGCCCCACCAUGGGCGUCGGUGGCCACCUCAGCGGCGGCGGGUUCGGCUCGCUGGCACGCAAGUACGGCCUCUCCGCCGACAACGUCCUGGACGCCGUCGUCGUGGACGCCGACGGAAGGCUGGUGAACAGGAGCACCAUGGGGGAGGACCACUUCUGGGCUCUCUGUGGCGGAGGCGGCGAGAGCUUCGGCGUGGUGCUGUCGUGGAAGGAGAUGGCGCCGGCUUCACCGCAAGAGCUGUACCUCCGCGUGCUCGUGCUGAACCAGCAGGCUAAUUUCCAAGCGCUGUUUCUCGGCCGGUGCGGCGGCCUCCAUCGGCUCAUGCAAGACCGCUUCCCUGAGCUCGGGAUGACGGAGCAAGACUGCGAGGAGGUGAGCUGGGUGCAGUCCACGGCCUUCUUCGGCUUCUCCACGACGUCCGUGCCACCGGAGCAGCUCCUCAACAGGAGCAGCAACCCGAGCUACUACCUCAAGGCCAAGUCGGACCACGUGCAGGAGCCGAUUCCAAGGGACGUGUGGGAGAGCAUAUGGACGACAUGGCUGGAGAAGCCCGAGGCGGCGCUGCUCAUGCUGGACCCUUACGGCGGCGUGAUGAGCAGCAUCCCGCCGUCGGAGACGCCGUUCCCGCACCGGCAGGGGAACCUCUACCAGCUCCAGUACUACUCCUUCUGGUACGAGAACGGGACGGCGGCGGCGGAGAAGCGGAUGAGCUGGGUCAGGGGGCUGUACAAGGAGAUGGAGCCCUACGUGUCCAAGAACCCGAGGGCGGUGUACGUCAACUACAGGGACCUUGACCUGGGGACGAAUGAGCUGGACGGUGACGUGACGAGCUAUGAGAAGGCUAGAGUCAGCUGGGGAGACAAGUAUUUCAAAGGAAAUUUUAAGAGGUUGGCAGCCGUGAAGACCAUGGUGGAUCCCCAUGAUUUCUUCAGGAAUGAGCAGAGCAUCCCUCCUCUUCCCACUGCCAAAAUGAUGAUAGAUUCCAUUUGA